UACGUCGUCAAUGGGUCUCCAUAAAUUAUGCAAGUCGUAAAAUGCAAAAUUCAUAUUUAAUUAUACUGAAGGAAAAACUAUUAGUUAAUUUGUCAGUUUAAGUAAUGUUGAAUCUAUUUCUUUUGAAAUAUAUAAAUUUUUCGUAAUAUUUUCUUGGAUUUGCGACAAUCGCCAUAAUAUUCGCAGUUCGGUAGCGAAUGUCAACAUGUCCAGAUCAUUUUCCGUAGAAAACCCCGAGAGGGUUGUUUUGUAAAACCUACAAACUGUGAACAUUAUUGAAGCAUUCCAGAAGCCCACGGACAGUUAUGACAAAUUAAAUCAUAGUUAUUUAUGCCCGGGGCAUUCCGAUCAACUUGAAGGUCACAAACAUGUGCAAGAUUGCAGAUCCACGUUGCCUCGUCUGAUGUCAUGUCGUGUGCAGUGAGCAUGAGAAAAACAACCCUGCUUUACCCUAGACUAGAAAAAAGACUGGAGGUCAAAAUGCAGGAUGAUUGAGCAGGGAGUGCUGGCAGAUGGACUAUUGAGGUCAACAAAAAAUUCUGACUUUCACCAGGUGGACACAUGUUCAGGAAGAAAUUCUCACAUCA